GAUGAACGCUGGCGGCGUGCCUAAUACAUGCAAGUCGAGCGGACCAAAGAGAGCUUGCUCUCUGAGGUUAGCGGCGGACGGGUGAGUAACACGUGGGUAACCUGCCUGUAAGACGGGGAUAACUUCCGGAAACCGAAGCUAAUACCGGAUGAUAAAGAGAAACGCCUGUUUCUUUUUUGUAAGUCGUCCUUUUGCUGACGCCUACAUAUGUGCCCGCGGCGCAUUAGCUAGUUGGUGAGGUAACGGCUCACCAAGGCGACGAUGCGUAGCCGACCUGGGAGGGUGAUCGGCCACACUGGGACUGAGACACGGCCCAGACUCCUACGGGAGGCAGCAGUAGGGAAUCCUCCGCAAUGGACGAAAGUCUGACGGAGCAACGCCGCGUGAGUGACGAAGGUUUUCGGAUCGUAAAACUCUGUUGUGAGGGAAGAACAAGUACCACUUAACUACUGGUACCUUGACGGUACCUCACCAGAAAGCCACGGCUAACUACGUGCCAGCCGCCGCAGUAA
rnacentral:rRNA from 1 species